AAGUUCAAAGUUUAAAAUCAUGCCUUAUUUCUUUAUAUACGAGUCAAAACCGAUGGUGCGUUUCAUUUUCAUGUUAAUCUUCAGGUAAAAAAUGAACAAAAAGCGAAAUCCAAAAUUUAUUAUGUUAGGAUGAAGAUAGGAUGAUCCUAAGACACCUAAUUAGGUGUCCUAAAGUUAGGACGAAAACUGCGAUAUAUCGUAAAUUAGGAGAGCUUCGAGAACACGACUUAG
rnacentral:lncRNA from 1 species